rnacentral:rRNA from 1 species
AGCGAACGCUAGCGGCGGGCCUAACACAUGCAAGUCGAGCGGGGGAGCAAUCCCUAGCGGCGGACGGGUGAGUAACACGUAGGUUAUGUGCCCUUUGGUGGGGAAUAACCGUGGGAAACCAUGGCUAAUUCCGCAUAUCGAGCGAAAUCUUGAAAGCCUUCGGGCGCCAAAAGGAGCAACCUGCGGCCCAUUAGCUUGUUGGUAGGGUAACGGCCUACCAAGGCGAUGAUGGGUAGCUGGUCUGAGAGGAUGAUCAGCCACACUGGAACUGAGACACGGUCCAGACUCCUACGGAGGCAGCAGUGGGGAAUAUUGCGCAAUGGGCGAAAGCCUGACGC